rnacentral:rRNA from 1 species
UACAGGGGUCUCGAGCGUUGUUCGGAUUCAUUGGGCGUAAAGGGUGCGUAGGUGGCUUGGUCAGUCGGAUGUGAAAUCCCGGGGCUCAACCCCGGAACUGCAUUCGAUACUGCCGGGCUGGAGUACUGGAGAGGAGAUUGGAAUUUACGGUGUAGCAGUGAAAUGCGUAGAUAUCGUAAGGAAGACCAGUGGCGAAGGCGGAUCUCUGGACAGUUACUGACACUGAGGCACGAAGGCCAGGGGAGCAAACGGG